rnacentral:tRNA from 2 species
CAGUAGCUCAGUUGGUUAGAGCACCUGACUGUUAAUCAGGGGGUCGUUGGUUCAAGCCCAUC